rnacentral:rRNA from 1 species
ACCAAGGAGUCUGACAUGCGUGCGAGUCAAUAGCGCGAGUAAACCCAUGAGGUGCGAGGAAGCUUAUUGACGUGAUUCCCCAUAGGGGUGCAACACUGAUCGACCUCGAUCUUCUGAGAAGGGUUUGAGUGCGAGCAUACCUGUUGGAACCCGAAAGAUGCUAAACUAUCCUGAGUAGGACGAAGCCAGAGGAAACUCUAGUGGAGGCCCAUAGCGAUACUGACGUGCAAAUCGUUCGUCUGACUUGGGUAUAGGGCGAAAGACUAAUCGAACCAUCCAAUAGUUGGUUUCCUCUGAAGUUUUCCUCAGGAUAGUUGGAGCUCGGGCGCGAGUUCUAUCGGGUAAAGCCAAUGAUUAGAGGCAUCGGAGGCCCAAUGCCCUCAACCUUUUCUCAAACUUUAAAUAGUCAGAACGACGUGGCUGCUUCGUUGAGCAGCACCACGAAAUCGAGAGCUCGAAGUGGGCCAUUUUUGGUAAGCAUAACUGGCGAUGGGGGAUUAAACGAAGGUUAGGUUACGGUGCCCAACUACACGCUAACCUAGAUCCCACAAAGGGUGUUGGUCGAUUAAGACAGUAGGACGGUGGUCAUGGAAGUCGAAAUCCGCUAAGGAGUGUGUUACAACUCACCUGUUGAAUCAACUAGCCCCGAAAAUGGAUGGCACUAAAGCGCACGACCUAUACCCAGCCGCCAGGGCAAGCGCCAGGCCCCAAUGAGUAGGAGGGUACGACGGUCGCUGCAAAACCUUAGGUGCGAGCCCAGGCUGAGUGACCGUUGGUGUGGAUCUUGGUGGUAGUAACAAAUAUUCAAAUGGAAACUUUGAAAGCUGAAGAGGAGAAAGGUUUCGUGUGAAUGGUAAUUGCACACGGGUUUGUCGAUCCUAAGGGUCGGGGGAAAGCCCGAUAGACAGCGCGUUUCGGGAGUACGCCAAAAUUGAAUCAGGUUAAAAUUCCUGAACCGAGACGCGGCGGUUGACGGCAGCGUUAGGGAGUUCGGAGAUGUCGACGGGGGCCUCGGGAAGAGUUAUCUUUUUCGUUUAACAGCCUGCCAACCCUAGAAAUGGCUCAGUUGGAGGUAGGGUCUAGCGGCUGGAAGAGCACCACACGUCUCAUGGUGUUCGAUGCGCCCCCAACGGCCCUGGAAAAUUCGGAGGAUCAAGUACCGUCCGCGCUCGGUUGUACUCAUAAUCGCAUUAGGUCUCCAAGGUGGACAGUCUCUGGUC